rnacentral:rRNA from 1 species
GUCUAUGGCCAUACCACCCUGAACAUGCCAGAUCUAAUCUGAUCUCGGAAGCUAAGCAGGGUCGGGCCUGGUUAGUACUUGGAUGGGAGACAAUUCUUAUAGAGGAGGAAACAAUUGAAU